rnacentral:tRNA from 1 species
UCGAAUCUGGGGCGCGGGGCGUUCGAUCGUUGUUUACGUCGAAGCCGAGUGAAAAGCAGAUCGAGCGCGUUCGGAUCGUGGGUUCGUU